rnacentral:rRNA from 1 species
GAUGAACGCUGGCGGCGUGCCUAAUACAUGCAAGUCGAGCGAACAGACGAGGAGCUUGCUCCUCUGACGUUAGCGGCGGACGGGUGAGUAACACGUGGAUAACCUACUUAUAAGACUGGGAUAACUUCGGGAAACCGGAGCUAAUACCGGAUAACAUGUUGAACCGCAUGGUUCAACAGUGAAAGACGGUCUUGCUGUCACUUAUAGAUGGAUCCGCGCCGCAUUAGCUAGUUGGUAAGGUAACGGCUUACCAAGGCAACGAUGCGUAGCCGACCUGAGAGGGUGAUCGGCCACACUGGAAGUGAGACACGGUCCAGACUCCUACGGGAGGCAGCAGUAGGGAAUCUUACGCAAUGGGCGAAAGCCUGACGGAGCAAAGCCGCGUGAGUGAAGAAGGUCUUAGGAUCGUAAAACUCUGUUAUUAGGGAAGAACAAAUGUGUAAGUAACUAUGCACGUAUUGACGGUACCUAAUCAGAAAGCCACGGCUAACUACGUG